AAAUUGAAGAGUUUGAUCAUGGCUCAGAUUGAACGCUGGCGGCAGGCCUAACACAUGCAAGUCGAGCGGUAGCACAGAGAGCUUGCUCUCGGGUGACGAGCGGCGGACGGGUGAGUAAUGUCUGGGAAACUGCCUGAUGGAGGGGGAUAACUACUGGAAACGGUAGCUAAUACCGCAUAACGUCGCAAGACCAAAGUGGGGGACCUUCGGGCCUCAUGCCAUCAGAUGUGCCCAGAUGGGAUUAGCUAGUAGGUGGGGUAACGGCUCACCUAGGCGACGAUCCCUAGCUGGUCUG
rnacentral:rRNA from 1 species